rnacentral:Y_RNA from 1 species
GGCCGGUCCAAAGGUAGUGAGUUAUCUCAAUUGACUGUUCAUAGUCACAGAUCAAACUCCUUGUUCUCUUCUUUUCCCCUUGUCAAUACUGCACUUGACUAGUCUUAA